UGGGGCAACAAGUACUUCAAGGACAAUUUCAACAGAUUGGUAAAAGUGAAGACCAAAGUUGAUCCCGAUAACUUUUUCAGGCAUGAACAGAGCAUCCCACCUCUUCCAGUUUCCGUUGGAAGAAAAAGAAGAGGAAGAAGAGGAGGAAUACCGAAUUAGAGAUCUAAAAUUAGCUUGUUUGGAGCGCCAUGUGUCCCCAAAUUUGUUUGGCUAAGUAAAGAAGAAUAAUAAUUUUUA
rnacentral:misc_RNA from 1 species